rnacentral:lncRNA from 1 species
AGAGGAAAUCUGUCGACUCCUCCGUUCUCUGGGCUGGCCCUGCGCAGCAGGACUUGAUUCUCGCUGGGAACUUGCUCCUCUCCGUCCUUGGACUUGUCACUGUGACAGGAAAAGGCCAAGCGUGAAGAUGGCCGCACCUGGAGCUGCGCGCUCCUGGGUCCAUCCCGGGAGCCGAGUCCACCUGGGGGCCGGGGACGCCAGCCUCGUGGAGCAGGGGAGGCUGCGCGGCCCGGCCACCUCCGCGAUGCUGCUCCAGCUGGACAGUGCGGCUGGGCACACCCAGGAGCCACUGCCAACUGCCACCAGAGUCCCACGCAUCAGGGGCUUUAUCCGUUGAUAUUUGAAGUCCUGGGGACUCACCCUGGGGCCUCGGACAUGCUAAAAUCAGGCUCUCCCACUGAGCCGUGUCCCCCAGCCUCCUCAGUGGCCGCUUUAAGCCACCAAGUUUGGGGCGUACUUUUUCUUUGUAGCAAAAACUAGCUUAAAGCUGGGCGCCCUGGCCCAGGCCUCUAAUCCCAGCGGCUCAGGAGGCUGAGGCAGGAGGAUCGUGAGUUCAAAGCCAGCCUCAGCAAAAGGGAGGCGCUAAGCACCUGAGUGAGGCCCUGUCUCUAAAUAGGGUGGGGAUGGGGCUCAGUGGUUGAGGGCCCCUGAGUUCAAUCCUGGUACCAAAACCCAAAAAAUAAAACAACAAAACAAAAACAAAAAACCCAACUUAAAACAAACCACUUUCUUAUGUAAGUCUAUGUUACCUGAAUUUUCUGUCACAUGAAGACCUAAUCCUAGACGGCUCCAGGGCGUGUUUUUCAGGGAGGUUGCUGGGAAUCAAUCCAUCAGGCAGG